UACAGAGGUCUCAAGCGUUGUUCGGAUUCAUUGGGCGUAAAGGGUGCGUAGGUGGCGCUGUAAGUCAGGUGUGAAAUUUCGGAGCUUAACUCCGAAACUGCAUUUGAUACUGCAGUGCUCGAGGACUGGAGAGGAGACUGGAAUUUACGGUGUAGCAGUGAAAUGCGUAGAGAUCGUAAGGAAGACCAGUGGCGAAGGCGGGUCUCUGGACAGUUCCUGACACUGAGGCACGAAGGCCAGGGGAGCAAACGGG
rnacentral:rRNA from 1 species